rnacentral:rRNA from 1 species
CUACGGGCGGCAGCAGUGAGGAAUAUUGCACAAUGGGGGGAACCCUGAUGCAGCAACGCCGCGUGGAGGAUGACGCAUUUCGGUGUGUAAACUCCUUUUAUAUGUCAAGAAAAUGACGGUAGCAUAUGAAUAAGCACCGGCUAACUCCGUGCCAGCAGCCGCGGUAAUACGGAGGGUGCAAGCGUUACUCGGAAUCACUGGGCGUAAAGACGCGUAGGCGGGUUGGAAAGUCAGGUGUGAAAUCCUACAGCUUAACUGUAGAACUGCACUUGAAACUUCUAAUCUAGAGUAUGGGAGGGGGAGAUGGAAUUAGUGGUGUAGGGGUAAAAUCCGUAGAUAUCACUAGGAAUACCUAAAGCGAAGGCGAUCUCCUGGAACAUUACUGAUGUUAAGGCGUGAAAGCGUGGGGAGCAAACAGGAUUAGAUACCCGGGUAGUC